GGAAACAGUGAAGAGCACCAGCAGCAUUUCACAGGGCUAGGACUAAAAAAGACGUUCUGCAAAGAGAAGAAUUUAUGAAAAAGGUGAAUGAGUUUUGCAGACCUGAGCUACCACUGUUGUCUAUAGACCUGCUUUAACUAGGAACAGGGAGCCCUGUCUUUCAGGAGGAAGGGACAUUU